UGAAGAAGACGAGUCUGAUAGGCUAUCGUGUCACAGGAAGGCUGCCUGUGAGGAGGGCAGUAGCCUCAGCCUUUUGCCACUUCGAUGCAGCCAUGACCACAUGGCUCCUCUGCUGUGUGGCUCUUUGUCUCUUGAUUGCAGGCUUUUCUGAUGACACAGUGACCCAGAGGCCAACACAUCUGAUCAAGUGGAAAGGACAGAAAGAAAACAUGAGCUGUGUCCCUAAAAAGGGACACAAUGCUGUUUACUGGUAUCAACAAAAGCAGAGUAACGAGUUGAAGCCUUUGAUUCGUUUUCAGAAUAGAGAACCUCUUGAAGAAAUAGACAGGUUCAAGGACCUUUUCUCAGCUACGUGUCCCAAAGACUUACCCUGCAGCCUGGAAAUCAAGUCCUCUGAGCGAAACAACUCAGCCCUGUAUCUGUGUGCAAGCAAAAAUCUGGACAGGGUGAAGCCACCCAACGUGGCUGUGUUUGAGCCAUCAGAAGCAGAGAUUAACCAGAAAAAGAAGGCCACACUCGUGUGCCUGGCCACGGGCUUCUACCCUGACCACGUGGAGCUGAGCUGGUGGGUGAAUGGGAAGGAGACCCGAAGUGGAGUGAGCACGGACCCACACCCCUAUGAAGAGUCUCCUGGCAACCCAAACUCCAGCUACUGCCUCAGCAGCCGCCUGAGGGUCUCAGCUGCCUUCUGGCACAACCCCCGCAACCACUUCCGCUGCCAAGUCCAGUUCUAUGGACUCACAGAUGAUGACCCAUGGGACCAGAAGCAUGGGACCAAGCCAGUCACGCAGAACAUCAGUGCUGGAGUUUGGGGCAGAGCAGAUUGUGGCUUCACCUCUGUGUCCUAUCAACAAGGGAUCCUGUCUGCCACUCUGCUCUAUGAGAUCCUGCUGGGGAAGGCCACCCUGUAUGCUGUUCUAGUCAGUGCUCUCGUGCUGAUAACCAUGGUCAAGAAAAAACAUUCCUGAAGGCCCCCUGGAUGAAGAAGCAGAAACUUCCAACCCAUUAUGGUGUCUACCUGGAUUCGCCUUCUGCCAGUGCUUCUGAAGAGCUGUUCUAAUUUCUCUACUCAUUCUAAUUUUACCCUCUACUCUCACGCACACCUGCAUGUUUAUGGAUGGAAUAUCCCUAACCCAGUGAAGUCCACUGUCUAGAUGAUGGAAUCAAUAAACAUGUCCUGUUCUGGCCUGCCUAA